rnacentral:sRNA from 1 species
GCCGGGCACGGUGGCGCAUGCCUAGAAUCCUGCUGCUCAGAAGGCUGAGGCAAGAGGAUCGUGAGUUCAAAGCCAGCCUCGGCAACUUAGCGAGGCCCUAUGAAACUCAGUGAGACCCUGCCUCUA